AAUAUCGGGCUUUUUCAAGUCUGAUAAUUGGAAUGAGUACAAUUUAAAUCCCUUAACGAGGAUCCACUGGAGGGCAAGUCUGGUGCCAGCAGCCGCGGUAAUUCCAGCUCCAGUAGCGUAUAUUAAAGUUGUUGCAGUUAAAAAGCUCGUAGUUGGAUUUCUGGUACGCUGCGCCUGGCCCGCCUUCGGGUGAGUGCUGGUGCGCGGUUGCCAUCCUUCUAGAGAACACGUCUACCCUUCAUUGGGCCGGACGUGGAAUCUAGAUCUUUUACUUUGAAAAAAUUAGAGUGUUUAAAGCAGGCUUAUGCUAUGAAUACAUUAGCAUGGAAUAAUAAUAUAGGACUUUGGUUCUAUUUUGUUGGUUUCUAGGACUAAAGUAAUGAUUGAUAGGGAUAGUUGGGGGUGCUCCUAUUCGCUGGCCAGAGGUGAAAUUCUUGGAUUCAGUGAAGAGGAACUUAUGCGAAAGCAUUCACCAAGGAUGUCUUCUUUAAUCAAGAACGAAAGUUGGGGGAUCGAAGACGAUCAGAUACCGUCGUAGUCUCAACCAUAAACUAUGCCGACUAGGGAUGAGUGAUCGUUGCAUUUUCGACUUCAUUCGCACCUUAUGAGAAAUCAAAGUCUUUGGGUUCCGGGGGGAGUAUGGUCGCAAGGCUGAAACUUAAAGGAAUUGACGGAAGGGCACCACCAGGUGUGGAGCCUGCGGCUUAAUUUGACUA
rnacentral:rRNA from 1 species